CUGGCUCAGGAUGAACGCUGGCGGUCGGCCUAACACAUGCAAAGUCGAACGAAGUCUUCGGACUUAGUGGCGGACGGGUGAGUAACACGUGAGAACCUGCCCUCUGGAGGGGGACAACCGUUGGAAACGACGGCUAAUACCCCAUACGCCCUCGGGUGAAAGCUUUUGCGCCAGAGGAGGGGCUCGCGGUCGAUUAGCUAGUUGGUGGGGUAACGGCCUACCAAGGCAGCGAUCGAUAGCUGGUCUGAGAGGACGAGCAGCCACACUGGGACUGAGACACGGCCCAGACUCCUACGGGAGGCAGCAGUGGGGAAUUUUCCGCAAUGGGCGCAAGCCUGACGGAGCCAGACCGCGUGCGGGAAGACGGCCCUUGGGUUGUAAACCGCUUUUCUCAGGGAAGAAGUCAGUGACGGUACCUGAGGAAUCAGCCUCGGCUAACUCCGUGCCAGCAGCCGCGGUAAUACGGAGGAGGCAAGCGUUAUCCGGAAUUAUUGGGCGUAAAGCGUUCGCAGGCGGCUUGGCAAGUCUGCUGUCAAAGCCCGCGGCUCAACCGCGGAUCGGCAGUGGAAACUGUCAGGCUAGAGUGCGGUAGGGGUAGGGGGAAUUCCCAGUGUUGCGGUGAAAUGCGUAGAUAUUGGGAAGAACACCAGUGGCGAAAGCGCCCUACUGGACCGUAACUGACGCUCUA
rnacentral:rRNA from 1 species